rnacentral:lncRNA from 1 species
UAAGAGAAAAGCCAGGACCAGAGAAGCAGCCACCCCUGAGCAUUGCCUUCUGAGCUGUUCUGUGGGACCAAGCUGCGGAGUCAGGCCAACAUGAGUGAGAGACAAAGUGCUGGAGCGACCAAUGGAAAAGACAAGACAUCAGGAGAUAAUGGUAAGAUGGUCAGAAAGGUCCUGCUGCCUCCCCUCUCCCAACUGCAUCUU